UAAAACAUCACGGGGCGCUGUAAAAGGCUGAGAAGUUACCCGUUUUACCUGAACAGGAUAAUGCCUGCGUAGGAAUGAUGAUAGAUAUUUUC
rnacentral:ncRNA from 2 species